GGAUGAACGCUGGCGGCGUGCCUAAUACAUGCAAGUCGAGCGAACAGACGAGGAGCUUGCUCCUCUGACGUUAGCGGCGGACGGGUGAGUAACACGUGGAUAACCUACCUAUAAGACUGGGAUAACUUCGGGAAACCGGAGCUAAUACCGGAUAAUAUAUUGAACCGCAUGGUUCAAUAGCGAAAGACGGUUUUGCUGUCACUUAUAGAUGGAUCCGCGCCGCAUUAGCUAGUUGGUAAGGUAACGGCUUACCAAGGCAACGAUGCGUAGCCGACCUGAGAGGGUGAUCGGCCACACUGGAACUGAGACACGGUCCAGACUCCUACGGGAGGCAGCAGUAGGGAAUCUUCCGCAAUGGGCGAAAGCCUGACGGAGCAACGCCGCGUGAGUGAUGAAGGUCUUCGGAUCGUAAAACUCUGUUAUUAGGGAAGAACAAAUGUGUAAGUAACUAUGCACGUCUUGACGGUACCUAAUCAGAAAGCCACGGCUAACUACGUG
rnacentral:rRNA from 1 species